CAACCCUCAAGCUGAGCUUGGUAUUGGGUGUCACCGUCACGGUGCGCCUUAAAAUCAGUGGCGGUGCCAUCUGGCUUCAAGCGUAGUAAUACUUCUCGCUCUGGAGGUCCAGGUGGUUGCUUGCCAAAACCCCAUACUUUUCAAAGG
rnacentral:misc_RNA from 1 species